rnacentral:rRNA from 1 species
UACAGAGGUCUCAAGCGUUGUUCGGAUUCAUUGGGCGUAAAGGGUGCGUAGGCGGCGCGGUAAGUCGGGUGUGAAAUCUCGGAGCUUAACUCCGAAACUGCAUUCGAUACUGCCGUGCUUGAGGACUGGAGAGGAGACUGGAAUUUACGGUGUAGCAGUGAAAUGCGUAGAUAUCGUAAGGAAGACCAGUGGCGAAGGCGAAUCUCUGGACAGUUACUGACACUGAGGCACGAAGGCCAGGGGAGCAAACAGG